ACGUAGGAUCCGAGCGUUGUCCGGAAUUACUGGGUGUAAAGGGCGUGUAGGUGGAGCUUUAAGUCGGUGGUGAAAGCCUGCAGCUCAACUGCAGAAUUGCCCUCGAUACUGAGGCUCUUGAGUACGGCAGAGGGAGAUGGAAUUCAUGGUGUAGCGGUGAAAUGUGUAGAUAUCAUGAAGAACACCGGUAGCGAAGGCGGUCUCCUGGUCCGUAACUGACACUGAGGCGCGAAAGCGUGGGGAGCAAACAGGAUUAGAUACCCUGGUAGUCCACGCCUUAAACGAUGAAUACUAGGUGCUGGGCCGUAAGGUUCAGUGCCAAAGCUAACGCAUUAAGUAUUCCACCUGGGGAGUACGAUCGCAAGGUUG
rnacentral:rRNA from 1 species